CUUUGGUUCCCUCGCAACAGCCAACUGUGAACUCCGCCAGGCCCGGAAGGGAGCAACGGUAGCGGUAACGCUGUGUGCCGAGGUGCGGCUAUUGAGG
rnacentral:SRP_RNA from 1 species